AGUGAACGCUGGCGGUAGGCCUAACACAUGCAAGUCGAACGGCAGCACAGUAAGAGCUUGCUCUUAUGGGUGGCGAGUGGCGGACGGGUGAGGAAUACAUCGGAAUCUACUUUUUCGUGGGGGAUAACGUAGGGAAACUUACGCUAAUACCGCAUACGACCUACGGGUGAAAGCAGGGGAUCUUCGGACCUUGCGCGAUUGAAUUAGCCGAUGUCGGAUUAGCUAGUUGGCGGGGUAAAGGCCCACCAAGGCGACGAUCCGUAGCUGGUCUGAGAGGAUGAUCAGCCACACUGGAACUGAGACACGGUCCAGACUCCUACGGGAGGCAGCAGUGGGGAAUAUUGGACAAUGGGCGCAAGCCUGAUCCAGCCAUACCGCGUGGGUGAAGAAGGCCUUCGGGUUGUAAAGCCCUUUUGUUGGGAAAGAAAAGCAGCAGGUUAAUACCCCGCUGUUCUGACGGUACCCAAAGAAUAAGCACCGGCUAACUUCGUG
rnacentral:rRNA from 1 species